UACUACCGGUCCGUAGAUUGAAUUUGCAAUCAUGGUUAAAACUAUUAUAAACAUACCGGUUUUCUGUAUCUAACCCCAAAGAUUAAACUCCAAUCCCUCAAAUCAUCUUAUGUCAGACUUCAGACUCCCCCUGACUUAUAUGGUUUAAUAAUAAUUGACAGCUGUGCUGGCUUCUGACACCAUUUUUAUUAAGAGAAAAGUCAAUAUAUGAGUCCAAAAUUUAAUACUAGCCCAAUGGUCAUAACACUAGGUUAUCACAAUUUGUCUGAUGGCUUUAAUAGUCACUCAAUUUAUUUAAUAAUGUUAUUUAUUAUUUUCAGAGAUUCCAAUGCAUAGUUUCCCAGAUGCUGUCAAAUUCCUGAGCAGUUUAAAACUUGGGUCAGUCUUGUUUUUGGAAACCCUUAAACAUCUGAUCUUGAAUGUUAUAAGAAGAAGAGAAUUUGUGAUAUACACUUUUCUGACAGACACAGAAAUCAUAAUCAAUGGCUAAGCACAUUGGCAGUUCCGAUGCUUCAUCUGCUUGGACAACUACAGAGUCAAGUAAUUUUAGGACAAGCUUCAUCCACACAACAUUUACUGCCUACAAUAAUACAGCAAGACUGUUCAGAGCCAUAUGUGAGCAACUUUAUUUUAGAAAAAGCAUCAACUUCAACAACAUUCCAACCUGUGGCUGCAGAUGCAUCUCAAGUUGCUUGAUGCUGGAACAUAAUUAUAGUUUUAUUAGCAAGCCUGAAAGAACAUCAGGAAGGAAAAGAUCUAAUGGCUCCACAGCGCACAAAGAUCAAGCAUCUUCAAGCAGAAAUAUCGCGCUUGCGAAAAAAAGGACAAUCUUUCAAAGCAAGGUUAAAAGGUGGUGCAGAUCGAUCAAUCGAAUUUUGUCAGGAAAAUUAACAUAUGUGGGUGAAGGCGAAACAAAAACAGCUGCCCAACAAUAUUAUGAUUAACAUAAACAUUAUAAAAAUAAAAAAUAAUAUGCAAA